UUUAAAUAGCUGCAGUAAUUUAACUGUACAAAGGUAGCAUAGUAAUUAGUCUUUUAAUUGAGGUCUAGAAUGAAUGGUUUAACAAGAAGUAAGCUUUAUUAAUUCAAUUAAGUGAAAUUUAUUUUUUAGUAAAAAGCUAAAAUUUAAAAAUGGGACGAUAAGACCCUUUAGAUCUUUAAAUUUUAAUUGAAUAAUAAUAUUAAUGUGGAUUUAAUUUUUAUUAAAUAAAAUUUUUUGUUGGGGUGACAGCUAAAAUCUUAAAUCUUUAGUAUUUUACACCAUUUAUUUAUGUAUAUUUGAACCUUAAUUUAGGGUUAUUAAAAUAAGAUACCUUAGGGAUAACAGCAUAAUAAAUUUGUAAAGUUCAUAUAUAUAAAUUUGAUUGUGACCUCGAUGUUGAAUUAAUCUAGAAUUCUGGGGCAGAAGAUAGAAUUUUAGGUCUGUUCGACCUUUAAAAGAUUACA
rnacentral:rRNA from 1 species